CCUACGGGAGGCAGCAGUGGGGAAUAUUGCACAAUGGGCGAAACCCUGAACCAGCGACGCCGCGUGAGUGAAGAAGUAAUUCGUUAUGUAAAGCUCUAUCAGCAGGGAAGAAAAUGACGGUACCUGAGUAAGAAGCCCCGGCGAACCACGUGCCACCAGCCGCGGUAAUACGGAGGGGGCAAGCGUUAUCCGGAUUUACUGGGUGUAAAGGGGGGGUAGAGGGCAGUGCAAGUCUGGAGUGAAAGGCGGGGGCUCAAACCCCGGACUGACGUUGAAACUGUACGGCUGGAGUGCAGGAGAGGUAAGUGGAAUGCCUGGUGUAGCGGUGAAAUGCGUAGAUAUUAGGAGGAACUCCGGUGGCGAAGGCGGCAUACCGGCCUGUAACUGACGUUGAGGCUCGAAAGCGUGGGGAGCGAACAGGAUUAGAUACCCGAGUAGUC
rnacentral:rRNA from 1 species